GACAGAGGGUGCAAGCGUUGCUCGGAAUUACUGGGCGUAAAGCGCGUGUAGGCGGCCACCGCAAGUCGACUGUGAAAUCUCCGGGCUUAACCCGGAAAGGUCAACCGAUACUGCGGGGCUAGAGUGCAGAAGGGGCAACUGGAAUUCUCGGUGUAGCGGUGAAAUGCGUAGAUAUCGAGAGGAACACCUGCGGCGAAGGCGGGUUGCUGGGCUGACACUGACGCUGAAGUGCGAAAGCUAGGGGAGCGAACGGG
rnacentral:rRNA from 1 species